rnacentral:lncRNA from 1 species
UGUAGUCAAUAUCGCUUGUUGUGACAUUCCAGGCCUCGCGCGGUCUUUCUUUGCCAUAGUGAAAGCGGGUUUUUUUUUGUUGUUGUUUGUUUUUUUUUUUUUUUCAGAUUAUAGUCCCAUUUGCUAAGAUACAGGAAUAGCCCGGCGAAUCACAGUUGGAGCACCAUGAUAUAGCUGCUAAUGUUUUGCCUGCAUUAUUACACCAACAAACAUGAUCCAGAGCGCUCAGUUGCUAUUUCUGCAGAUGUCAAAGAAGUUCUGUUAACUGAUGGGAAUGAAAAGGCCAUCAGAAACGUGGGAGACAUCAUCACAAGGAAUCAGAAGGCUGGUGCAUUUAAAACUCGGAAAAUAUCAAGCUGGUAAGAUACCUUUCUUUAUUA